GAUGAACGCUGGCGGCGUGCCUAAUACAUGCAAGUCGAGCGAACAGACGAGGAGCUUUCUCCUCUGACGUUAGCGGCGGACGGGUGAGUAACACGUGGAUAACCUACCUAUAAGACUUGGAUAACUUCGGGAAACCGGAGCUAAUACCGGAUAAUAUAUUGAACCGCAUGGUUCAAUAGUGAAAGACGGUUUUGCUGUCACUUAUAGAUGGAUCCGCGCCGCAUUAGCUAGUUGGUAAGGUAACGGCUUACCAAGGCAACGAUGCGUAGCCGACCUGAGAGGGUGAUCGGCCACACUGGAACUGAGACACGGUCCAGACUCCUACGGGAGGCAGCAGUAGGGAAUCUUCCGCAAUGGGCGAAAGCCUGACGGAGCAACGCCGCGUGAGUGAUGAAGGUCUUCGGAUCGUAAAACUCUGUUAUUAGGGAAGAACAAAUGUGUAAGUAACUAUGCACGUCUUGACGGUACCUAAUCAGAAAGCCACGGCUAACUACGCG
rnacentral:rRNA from 1 species